ensembl:snRNA Gm25153 predicted gene, 25153
GUACUUACCCAGCAGGGGGUAGCCAGUGACCAAAGAGAUGGUUUUCCUAGGGCGAGGUUCCAACAUUAUACUUGGGGUUUGCUGACCCCCAUGACCACCCCGAAUGCGGGACCUUACACUUUGUGAUAAGAGUCUGCGAGUCUGCACUGCCCCUCA